rnacentral:rRNA from 1 species
CCUACGGGAGGCAGCAGUGGGGAAUAUUGGACAAUGGGCGAAAGCCUGAUCCAGCAAUGCCGCGUGAGUGAAGAAGGCCUUCGGGUUGUAAAGCUCUUUUACCCGGGAAGAUAAUGACUGUACCGGGAGAAUAAGCCCCGGCUAACUCCGUGCCAGCAGCCGCGGUAAUACGGAGGGGGCUAGCGUUGUUCGGAAUUACUGGGCGUAAAGCGUACGUAGGCGGCUUUGUAAGUCAGAGGUGAAAGCCCACGACUCAAUCGUGGAACUGCCUUUGAGACUGCUUCGCUUGAAGAUGGGAGAGGUUAGUGGAAUUCCGAGUGUAGAGGUGAAAUUCGUAGAUAUUCGGAAGAACACCAGUGGCGAAGGCGGCUAACUGGACCAUUCUUGACGCUGAGGUACGAAAGCGUGGGGAGCAAACAGGAUUAGAUACCCUGGUAGUCCACGCCGUAAACGAUGAUAACUAGCUGUCGGGGCUCUUGGAGCUUCGGUGGCGCAGCUACGACAUAAGUUAUCCGUCCGUCGGGUAGGUACGGUCCGCGAACGGUUAAACGUUAAACGUUAGUAAUUAGUACGGACGUGAGACGUGCCGACGGACGACGACGAGGGAGGUAGG